ensembl:snRNA U2 U2 spliceosomal RNA
UUUUUUUUUGCGGCCUUUUGGCUAAGAUCAAGUGUAGUAUCUGUUCCUAUCUUUUUAGAAAACAUAUCUAACAAUUUUCCCCUGGCAAUGUAAAAAAAUUUGCUUUUGUUCCUACAUUUACUUACCUUGCUCCACCAACCCCAAAGCUUAAAGUAAGUAGUUGAG